rnacentral:piRNA from 1 species
UGAGCCCUAAUUUUUUGGAAA